rnacentral:tRNA from 1 species
GGGGAUUUAGCUUAGCAGACAGAAGCAUCUGCCUGGCAAGCAUGAAGUGGUGAGUUCAAUCCCCG